ACUAGUCAAAAUCUCAGGAUUGUAAGUUUUGUUUUCAUUUUCAACAUCAGGUGGACUUGAAAAGCCCUUAAACAAUUUUGUUACUUGAUACUGCAGCCUCUGAAAGUGGCUACCAUUGUUAUCAUAUUUUGAUGAAUGCAAGUGAGACUCAACAUCAGCUCUAGUUUCAUUUGAUUCACUUUCUGGACCUAACUGAAGGCUGUGAGAUGCAGAAUUAGGACUGAACUCAAACCUUUGCAUAAAUGCCUGUACCAGAAAUCCAACCUGGAAAAUUUCAUGACAGUAGGAACCAAUCUCGAAUUUCCAGCCGAAGGAUAAAAUAACCGUAACAGAACUUCAUCUGAUUCUUAACCAACAAUAUUCAUCAAGCCUAUUGUUAAUGCCACGGUGAAACCAGGCCAAUUGUAGGUUUGUUAUGGCCUUUUGUUGGUUAAAUCAUGGAGAUUUGGCCUUGUAAUGUGGUGUAUUGUGAGCAAGGAAUGAGCACACUCAUGUGGUGCUGCUGCAGUUGGUUUUAUGCUUAUGUGGUAAUGUUGGUUUGUUGCAAGUUGGAUUUCAUACUGCAGGUCAGGUCCACUUGUGUAAGGAUUACUUGGCUUCCCUGGAUGCAUGUCUGUUUGGAUGGUUUGUUAUACUGCAUUGGUUUGCUCCUCAUGGCUGCAUAUAUAUUCUGCAGAUGUAUCAUGACUUGGUCUCACUGCCUAUAGCAAGCACUCAUCCUGAUUGGUGUAGUAUGGGUGUAUUUGCAGGCCUGCUAUUGCAGUGAUUUGGCAAGGAUUUGAUGUUACAUGAUGUUGCUCAUGAUGUGAACGCAAGGUUUGUUAAGGGGUUGCUUAAUAUUUUGGUUGUGGCAAUGUGAGGAAGUUGCAGGCCUACUGUUUUGAUGCAAUUGAAGUGUGUUAUGGUUGCAGGUUGUAAGCAUGGUUGUUUGUUGGCUGAUGAUUAGUUGCUCCUGAGCGAAAGGAACUUAUCUUGACCACUUUCAAAACAGUUGGACGGGUAACAUUGAUGUGCGGGGAUGGAACCAAUGAUGUUGGAGCUUUAAAGCAGGCCCAUGUAGGAGUUGCUCUUCUGAAUGCGAUGCCGCCAGCCAAAGGUGGAAACUCCUCUUCAAAUUCAUCCGCCGAAGACAGUUCAAAACCCCACUAGCCAUUCAGCUGUUAACCGUCAUGAAACCGCCAUUGUUGUGUUGGAUUGUGAGCAGGGGUUUCCAGGUUGCAGCUUCCAUGCCGUUAUCAUCAUGACAAACUCAAGGUCAAGUAUAGGCUCCACUGGUUAUGUGCUUAUGGUGCUGCUACAAAAUAAUAGACAAGGCAAAGUGUGUGCAGUAGGUUGUAGCAUGAACUGCUGCAGCAGCAGGGGUCAAGUAUAGGCUCCACUGGUUAUGUGCUUAUGGUGCUGCUACAAAAUAAUAGACAAGGCAAAGUGUGUGCAGUAGGUUGUAGCAUGAACUGCUGCAGCAGCAGGGGUAGCAUAGUGUCUCCAUUGGUUAGGUCAUGUAUUUGCAUUGCCUUGAUUUUGACAUGAUUGUGCAUCCGUACUGGCUCACUUCAGGUUGUGGGUUACUUCCUUGUUUUCUUUUGCCGCUCACGCAGGUUAUGGCUUCAUGUGUUGGACAUACAAAGUUUCAUGACACCAACAAGAAUCAUGAAGCAUUAUGCUUACUUGGCCAAUCCAAGAUCAAAAUGGAAUAUGGGAGAUCGAGGUCAAGAUUAGGAAAAGGAUUUGGGAUUUUAGAGUUUUUAGGAUUGGGUUGACUUUGGUCAAAGUUGACCAAAAAGUCAACUGUUGACCAAAGUCAACAAUUGGUCAAAAGUGUCAAUUUUUGUAUUUUCUUUGUAAAUGGAAUUCAAUGGACAAUUAUGGGUGAAU